CGACGGGCUGGGUUCGGUGGUCGGCCCGCCGCUGGGCUCGGUGCCGGGGCUCGGCUCGGUGCCGGGGCUCGGCUCGCCGCUCGGCGC
rnacentral:tRNA from 1 species